rnacentral:rRNA from 1 species
CCCUUAGAUGUUCUGGGCCGCACGCGCGCUACACUGACUGACUCAACGAGUUUACAACCUGUGCCGAAAGGUAUGGGUAAUCUUUUGAAAUUCAGUCGUGAUGGGGCUAGAUUAUUGCAACUAUUAAUCUUCAACGAGGAAUGCCUAGUAAGCGCGAAUCAUCAGUUCGCGUUGAUUACGUCCCUGCCCUUUGUACACACCGCCCGUCGCACCUACCGAUUGAAUGGUCCGGUGAAAUCUCGGGACGGCGGCUUGGUCGCUUGCGUCCGACUGCUGAAACUUGAUUAAACCAUAUCAUUUAGAGGAAGGUGAANUCGUAACA